UCGGGUCGGCAUGGCAUCUCCACCUCCUCGCGGUCCGACCUGGGCAUCCGAAGGAGGACGCACGUCCACUCGGAUGGCUAAGGGAGAGCCACU
rnacentral:ribozyme from 13 species